CCCAUGGGGCUCAGUUCUUCAGCUUGGAUAUUUCUGUCUGCACAUACACAGGAGAUAAAGGAGCACUUGAUCAUCCUCUGCCUCUUCUGGUGAUAGCAGCAAGCACGAGAGGAAGCACGAGUGAUGUGGAUCAUUUCAGCAGGGAGGGGUCACUGCAAAGGCCUGGCUCUCAGGAUAAUUACCUGUGCAGUGGUGGAAUCUCUGCUGAACUCAUGGGCUCUGUGGUGCUACCCACUGUCUGAUUAGCUUGUUUCUUUCCUCUCGUUGUUGUCAAGGUUCCAGCUGAAUCCCUGAGAUGGUGUUGGUUGGAUGAUGGUCCCCAGACCCUGCUGAGUGGUGCAUUCUCCUGUGGCCAGCUCUGAAAGAGGAAAUGAAAUUUGAGGUCAGAGUUGGCAAAAUCUUCAAAAGAAGAGAGAUCAAUGGAACAAUUGACAGUAUGCCUGAUGCAGGCAGCGUGCUGGGUAUCAGAUGCUGCAGAGCUUCAUCCUCUUCCUUCACUGUGCAGCCCAGCCUCGGGACAGGGAUGCAGCACAGAAGGAACAAGGCCAUGGAUGAAAUCAAGGGACACAGAAGUCUUUGGAGUCCCAUCUAUGUGACAAAACAAAAAUGAGUUGAAAAUGCUGAGUUUAUGUUGGGUUCAGCAAUCCUGAUGUCUGCACAGCUGAGAGAGAUCAUUCCCUGGGAGUGUGAGUGUGCCUCUGCAGCUUUGACCAGCCUCUCCCCUGCCCUGGGGAAGGAAGGAACAGCAGGGCUGGGAAGCUGUGCAGUCACAAUGUAAUGACUAAGAAUAAUUUUGGAGCAAACAAGCAUACAAUCACUGGGAAAGGAAGCUGGUUCACUUCAAGAUGUGAAGGGAAUUUUAAAUUACAUUUGAAAUGAAAUUACCUUGUCCAGAAGAUUUGUCUGUAUGGAUUAAUAUCUGUUGCUUGCCUGUAAACUCCUCUGCUGUGCAGGCGAUGGCAGAGCAGAGCAGCACCAGCCUUCAAGCAUCCCCCCCUGGCAGGAGGAAGGCAGGAGGAAGCACUUCCCCUGUGCCAUGGAGGUUCCUCUCAGAAACAGGUCAUAGAUAAAUGAAGCAAUGUGCAUAAAACCAUUGACCACUGAGAUGGUUUCUUCAGAUUCAUAGUCGUGUUGUUAAUAAUAAUCAUUACUUUGUUUAGAAAAACAUCCAAUCCCAGCCAAGCAGUUCCACCUUCCACAGACAGCAAUUCAAUUACUGUUUUGGUGGAGUUAAAUCUCUUGAUAUUCUGCUGAGAAAUUUUAUUCUUUAUUUAUUUUUAUGUUUUAUGGACUGGGACACAGGGACAUACUUGCCUGAGGGCACAAAAUGAUUUUACUUGAAGUUUUGUAGGACUUUUGCCAUAGUUAACAGUACAGGUGGAAAGGAGGCUCCCAGUCUUGUCCUUAGAUUAGGCCUCCCCAAACAGGUGCCCACAGUGCAGAAAUGUCUGUUUCCUGCUCUCACUAUUGCACAGAGUGUUGCUCUGCCCAUUCAAGCCAGGGAGAGCUCCUGCAGAAGAAGAAACAGCCUCCUGAUGGCCCAGCAAGCUCUCAACACCACUGGGGGGGACCACCUAAAUCACAGCCUCUCCUCAAAAGCCUCCUGCCUGUGCUUUACAGCUUCACCUGUUUGUCUCAGUUCCUCCUUUCUGUGAGUCCCUGUCCAAGCUCAGGCAAGGAAGAGCUUUUCCUGGGUACAGAAAUCUGUGGCUCUUGGGGCAUUUUUAAGCCCACUGCUGCCAGCCAAGCAGCUCAUUGAGAAAGCCCUUCAGAGCAAGCCCAGGCUGGGGCACAUCCCUUGGUGCCUGGGCACUUGUACCAGGCUGGGGCUCAGCAGGGGAAAUUUUUGUGUUUUCCAGCAUGAAAACAAAGCUCUUCUCUUGACUGAGAUCUCUGGCACUGCUGACAGCAUUUCCUGGGGUCCUGUCAACAGAGUGGUAUUUUCUCUAAAAACCAGGACCCAUAUUAAAUGUUUCUAAGCUGUGUUUAUGAAAAUCUUGGAGUCAUCUGAUUAGGAGCUUGGAUUUGGGGAAGCUGGACUCUUUCCAGCUUCCCCUCUUCAUCCUCAUUUCUGUAGGAUACUGCAGCUGCUCUGACGAAAAACAGUUAUUUAAAAAUUUGCUUGUAGCUAUGGCAACCUCCAUGCACUGUGUUUCAAUGGAAAAAAAAACAGCAUCAGAAGUUUCUUAACAGGAUAUUUAUGAAGAUUUUAGUCUUUGUACAUUUUAAAAUUGAAAUAUUCAGUUUUUAAAGGGGGGGAUUAGUAAGAUCUCAUUAAUUUUGGAAAAUGCAUUUUUCUUGUGAGGGCUGCUGCUUAGCAUUUUUUUUUUCUUUUCUUUUUUUUUUUUUUUUUUUUGUUUUGUUUGUUUUGUUUGUUUUGUUUUUGUUUACGAUUCCUCUGGUUGCUUUAACUCUUCAGAGCCUAAGACCUGGAGCAAGUGCCAGCCCCUCCCUCCUGUCUGUGCCUGCCUCCCACUCUGUCUUUCAGACCCUGUUUUUUUCCUGGAGGGACAGGGCAACCAGUUGUGCUGGCACAAGGCUGGAGCAGGGCUGGGGCUGUCAGACUUUGCCUUCCUGCAGUAAAUAACUCAGGGGGUUCAUUUAGCCCUUUGCCCAUUAAUUGCCUGUUGUUUGUCUGCUCUGAGAGAAGCAAAUAGAUGUGUUUGUAGUUGGGUUAUUUGGUAUCUCAAUGAUAUUUCAAUAUUCUUUCUCAAAGGCACAGACUAUCACAGGGUACUCAGUUUGCCUAGGCACAGCCCCAGCAGUAUUUAACCUCCCACACAACUCACCUGGGAAAGGUUAAAUUUGCAAAUCUGCUAUUUUUCUUUUGUUUUCUUCCCUCUUCCUUUCCUCUCUGCCUCUACACCUUCAAACUUGUGAGGAUAAAAUUAAGAAAGCCUCGCUGAAACACGCAGUCUGCUGCCCUAAACCCCUGGAGCCAUGCUGAUACCUUCUGGUGCCUCCGAGGUGUGGAUUAGGUCUAAUUAAUACUGGUUCUUGAUCAAUGGUUCUGACACAAAUGCAGGGAAGGGAUUUAUGUAAUUACUGCUGUAACAGCCAGGGAUUUUUGCUAGCAGCUCCCAGUGCUGUAGCAGGGGAGUUGGCUCCUGGUGACAGGAUUUUUGUGUGCCAGAGGUGACAGACUGCACCAUCACUCUCGAGUUCUUGUCCGUUUUUCCUUAUUCCUGCACAGGUUUGAAGGUACUUGUAGAGAUAAUCCAUGAUAUAUAUGUGUAUAAAAUAUUGUAAGAUCCAGCUUAUGUCUUUGACCACCCUGGCUGGGAGCAGAGUCUUGUUUCUAUUCAAUUAGUUCCCGGAGGUAGUUAAGAUAAUAUCAAGCCCGUUCAUAUAAGAAUGAAACCUUCCUGGGCCAUGAGGGCUGAUUUCCCAGGAAUGUCUGAGCCUGGGGAGAUUGCAUCUACCAGCUCAAGCACCGGAGCCACUCUGUUACAUGUGAAAGAAGGCUAUUCUGAAGAAGUCCAGACAGCCAUCCCAACUGGCUUUUGUACACUUCUGCAUCUGUAUGGUCCCAGUUCUACAUGUGAAGGGACACAAAGGAACCUUCUGUCAUUUCUGCCUCAGGCAGAAUAAAUGGGAUAUAAGCCAGGGCAUGAAGCAGUCGGGGUGAACCUCUGGGGAGACGCUGGCACUCUGCCAGUCGGAUCCAGGUUCACCCAGCGCCGACUCCCGGGCUUGAC